UACGUAGGGUGCUAGCGUUGUUCGGAAUCAUUGGGCGUAAAGCGCGUGUAGGUGGUCAAUAAAGUUGGAUGUGAAAUCCCUCGGCUCAACCGAGGAAGUGCAUUCAAAACUAAUUGGCUUGAGAGUGGUAGAGGAAGGUGGAAUUCCUAGUGUAGAGGUGAAAUUCGUAGAUAUUAGGAGGAAUACCGGAGGCGAAGGCGGCCUUCUGGACCAUUUCUGACACUGAGACGCGAAAGCGUGGGUAGCGAACAGG
rnacentral:rRNA from 1 species